rnacentral:rRNA from 1 species
UUCUGGUUGAUCCUGCCGGACCCGACUGCUAUCGGAUUGAGACUAAGCCAUGCGAGUCAACCCGCAAGGGUGGCGGACGGCUCAGUAACACGUAGUGAACCUGCCCUGGGGACGUGGACAACCAUGGGAAACUGUGGCUAAACCGCGAUAGGUCAUUGUUUCUGGAAUGGGCAAUGGCUCAAACCUACAUGGCCCCAGGAUGGCACUGCGGCCGAUCAGGUUGUUGGUGAGGUAAUGGCCCACCAAGCCUGUAACCGGUACGGGCUCUGAGAGGAGGAGCCUGGAGAUGGGCACUGAGACAAGGGCCCAGGUCCUAUGGGACGCAGCAGGCGCGAAACCUUCGCAAUAGGCGAAAGCCUGACGAGGUUAUUCCGAGUGUUCCCUGCUAAAGGGAUCUUUUGCCAGCUCUAAAAAUGCUGGUGAAUAAGGGGUGGGCAAGCCUGGUGUCAGCCGCCGCGGUAAUACCAGUACCCCGAGUGGUCGGGAUGAUUAUUUGGCCUAAAGCAUCCGUAGCCGGCGCUUCAAGUCUUCCGUUAAAUCCACCUGCUCAACAGAUGGGCUGCGGGAGAUACUGCUGCGCUAGGAGGCGGGAGAGGCGAGGGGUAUUCCAUGGGUAGGGGUAAAAUCCUCUGAUCCAUGGAGGACCACCAGUGGCGAAGGCGUCUCGCCAGAACGCGCUCGACGGUGAGGGAUGAAAGCUGGGGGAGCAAACCGGAUUAGAUACCCGGGUAGUCCCAGCUGUAAACGAUGUAGGCUCGGUGAUGGACUGGAUUCGAUCCAGCCCAGUGCCGCAGGGAAGCCGUUAAGCCUACCGCCUGGGGAGUAGGGUCGCAAGACUGAAACUUAAAGGAAUUGGCGGG